CCGAAUCGCAGCAAUGCAGAAGAGAGACCAAAGCAAAGCAGGUGGAGGAGCAGGAGGCUCCGCCACGCCGGCGGCGAAGAGAGGCCGUCCUUUCGGGAGCGGAAGCGGCAAUGCUGCCACAGCUGCUGGCGCAGCUGGCUCAGCUGAUUCUGCAGCUCCCUCUACUCUCCUCGGUCCUCCUCUACAAGUACACUCCGCCUUUGCCGAGAGCAGAAUAACAAAAGGAUAGUUCUCGCUCUUCAGAGUGAGUUGACAUGGGCAUUGAACACUCUCACAUUGCUGUCUUUCAAAGAAAAAGAUGAAGUUCGUAAAGAUGCAACUCCUCUUGCCAAGAUUCCUGGUUUGCUCGAUCGAUGCUUUAUUACAAGUUGUAUGUCUCUUGUCAUUCAGCAAAACUUAUGCAUAUGAGUAAUUUCUGUUGCACUGAAUUAUCUAAAUUCGGGCAGAUAGAUGACUGGCGUGAUAUAUCGAUCCUUGCCAAGGGUGCUAGUUAAAACGCCAAGAGUGAGAAUGCUAGGUGCAAAUUCUGCUGUUACUGGAUUUGGGAAUGAAUAUGAGGCCUUGAGCAAAAAUGAAGCUGCUCAUAGCUCUGCGGCUGGUUCCAGCAGUAAAGAGGCUUCUGUACAGAAGAAUACUAGUAUAUAUAUAUAUAUAUGUAUAUGUAUCCGAAUUAGUAACUGAUGAUGAUGCAUUUCACAAUUUCUCAA